rnacentral:rRNA from 1 species
UGCUUAACACAUGCAAGUCGAACGGCAGCACGGUCUAGUUUACUAGAUGGGUGGCGAGUGGCGAACGGGUGAGUAACGCGUAGGAAUAUACCUUAAAGUGGGGGACAACUUGGGGAAACUCAAGCUAAUACCGCAUAGAUCUCUGAGGAGAGAAGCUGGGGACCUUCGGGCCUGGCGCUUUAAGAUUAGCCUGCGUCCGAUUAGCUAGUUGGUGGGGUAAGGGCCUACCAAGGCGACGAUCGGUAGCUGGUCUGAGAGGAUGGCCAGCCACACUGGAACUGAGACACGGUCCAGACUCCUACGGGAGGCAGCAGUGGGGAAUAUUGGACAAUGGGGGGAACCCUGAUCCAGCAAUGCCGCGUGUGUGAAGAAGGCCUGAGGGUUGUAAAGCACUUUCAGUGGGGAGGAGGGUUGACAGGUUAAGAGCUGGUUGACUGGACGUUACCCACAGAAGAAGCACCGGCUAACUCCGUGCCAGCAGCCGCGGUAAUACGGAGGGUGCGAGCGUUAAUCGGAAUUACUGGG